GUGAGGAAUUUUCCGCAAUGGGCGAAAGCCUGACGGAGCAAUGCCGCGUGAAGGAUGAAGGCCUAUGGGUUGUAAACUUCUUUUCUCAGAAAAGAAUUAUGACGGUAUCUGAGGAAUAAGCAUCGGCUAACUCUGUGCCAGCAGCCGCGGUAAGACAGAGGAUGCAAGCGUUAUCCGGAAUGAUUGGGCGUAAAGCGUCUGUAGGUUGUUUAAAAAGUAUUCUGUCAAAGAUUAGGGCUUAACCCUAGAUAGGCAGAAUAAACUUUUAAGCUAGAGUUUGGUAGAGGCAGAGGGAAUUCCCGGUGGAGCGGUGAAAUGCGUAGAUAUCGGGAGGAACACCAAAGGCGAAGGCACUCUGCUGGGCCAAUACUAACACUGAGAGACGAAAGCGAGGGGAGCAAAUGGGAUUAGAUACCCCUGUAGUCA
rnacentral:rRNA from 1 species